ensembl:lncRNA
CCGCUCUCGCCGCGAGGUGGCGCGCUGCCGCCCGCCCCGAGGUGGGCCGGGCGCGGUGCUGCUGCUCGGGUUGUGGGCUCAGUUGGGCGGGCGGGGUUGUGAGGUGUUCAGCCGGCCUGAGGGAGAAAGGGGGAUUUCCCAAGUUAACGCGCUUUUUAAGUGUGGAAGCACAGAAGUGAAGGGGCGUCACGAGGCGGUGUGAAGAGCUUGUGGAAGGGUUGAUCCAAAUCUCACUGUAUCCCUCUCCAAGAUGAUCGGGCCCAGUGCUGGCAGGACCUGCAGCAGACUGGGGGAUUGCAGCAUACAUAUGUGAGGACUUCCUGCACCAGGGGCACCCCAGGGGAGUGCAGAGACCCACUGGGAGCUGGCGGUUCUGGUGAGAAGAACUGAGAAGACUCCAGUGGGGCCAGGAGCAGUGGCCAUCGUUCUCUGCGUGUGCAGAAGACAGCCCCAGGGACUGUGGCGAUCGGCACAUAGCGGGUCUGAUAGAGCCAAACAACUUUUAUCUAAUUCUGCUCAUUCAAGCUGGAUCACAGAAGGCUUUAACAAGGAGACUGCAAAACAUUAAAAGGGACUUUACAUCUCUUGGAAGGAUGUAGAAGAGAUUGGGAGUGUAAGUAGUGUUGUCUUCUGUCCUUCUGAUGGAGGCUGGCACCUGGGAAGGAGGAGAACAGGACAAGCGAAUGAUUGGCUGUGUGGAUGGUGCUAUACAUGGGGCUGUGGCUUCCAUGAUCUUCGACAGGCCUUUGAGGUGCUGAGCAUGUUGACUUCAAAUGAGACACAACUGACUGGGUGGGACAAGAAUGUUCUGGGAAACAAGCUGUCUGGGCUGAUCAGCAGAACUUAAAACUAGAUUCGAUGGGGAAAGGAGGUGGAUUUCAAAAUGACAAAGGAAGACUGGCGAACGCUGUCACUUUAGAAGGCAGUGGAGAUGGACUUCAGAUUUGUCCCCAAGGAACUCAGGAGGGCUCCCUGAAGAAGCUAAUACUGCUGAUUGUCUGGAUGAUGUGCCUCUAUACCAGUGCCAGCAGCAUGGGAAAUAAUCAGGAGGAGCUGGAAGACAUGGCACAACGGAAAAACUUACCUAGUUGCUAUCAAGGAAAUGUGGAAUGAAUUGCACAGCUGGAGCACAGUGAUCAAGGCCUGCAAGCUUUUUAGGAGAAAUACAGGGGGAUGGAGGGGCAGGGGAGUUGCUCUCUGCGUUAAGAAGUGGAUAGAUUGAAAAGAGCUGCCUUUGAAAAACAGCCAUGAUCAGAUGGAGAGCUCGUGGGCAACAGCAGGAACUGGUCCAUUGAAGGCCAUCUGGUGAUUGGGGUCUACUACAGGUUGCCCCAUCAAGGGGAGCUUGAGCACAAGGCCUUCUUGCUACAAAAGGCUCUCAUCCUGAUGGGAGAUUUCAACCACUCAGAUGUCUGCUGGGGAAACAACAUGAUGGGCUGCAAGUGAUUCAGGAGACUCCUGAAGUGCAUGGAUGAAUAUCAGGGACUGGUCCAACAAAGGACAUCUGAUGUUAAGGGGUCUACUACAGGCUGUGUGAUCAAGGGUAGCCUGUGGAUAAGGCCUUCUUGCUUCAGAUACAGGAAGCAUUGUAUUCACAGGCUUUCAUCCUCAUGGGGAAUUUCAGCCAUCCAGAUGUCUGCUGGGAAAGAAGCACAGUGGGUUGCAGACAAUCCAGGAGACUCUUGAAGUGUGUUGAUGAUAACUUCCUGGUCCGGGUAUUAUACAAAUUGACCUGAGGGGAAGCGUUAAAAGAUCUGUUGCUCACCAGUGUAGAGGAGAUCAUUGAGGAGGUUAAGAUAGAAGGCAGUCUGGGCUAUAUUGACCAUGCCUUGGUUGAAUUUGUGAUCUUGAGGAAUAUGGGCCUGGAGAAAAGCAAACUCAGGGCCUGAACUUGAGGAGAGAGAACUUCUGGCAGUUUAAGGAAUUAUUAGAUGAGAUCCCUUGGAAAGCUGUUGGAGUAGAGCUGGCAGCUCUUUUAAGGACACGUUUUUGAAAUCACAAGAACUCAGUAUAGGAAAACAAAAAGAGAAAGCAGGAGACUGGUAGGGCUGAGCAAGGACCUACUGGUCAAACUAAGGGAAAACAGGAACUCUCUCUUGAACUGUCUUUCUUGAACAGGGGUGCCAAAAUCUGCACACAGUACUGCAGAAUUGGCCUCACCAGAGCAGAGUAGAGGGGGAGGAUCACCUCCCUUGACCUGCUCACCACACUCUUUUUAAAGCACCCCAGGAUACCGUUAGCCUUCUGUGUCACAAGGGCACACUGCUGGACUAUGAUCAAGCUGCUGUUCACCAGUACACUCACAUCCUUCUCUGCAGAGUUCCUUUCUAUCAGAUCAGCCCCUAAUCUGUACUAGUGUGUAGAGUUAUUUCUCCCCAUGUGUAGGACUCUACACUUGCCCUUGUUGAACCUCAUAAGGUUCCUUUCUGCACAACUGUCCAGCCUGUCCAGGUCUCACAGAAUAGCAACACAGCCUUCUGGUGUGUCAGCCACUCCUAGCUUUGUAUCACCAGCAAACUUGCUGAGGGUGCACUUUAUCCCUUCAUCUAUGUCCCUUAUGAAGAUGUUAAACAAGACCAGAUGCAGUUCUGACUCCCGGGGAACACUGUUAGCUACAGGUUUCCAACUAAGACUCUGUCACUGAUCACAACUCUCUGAGCUGUACCAGUAAGCCAGUUCUCAAUCCACCUCACUGUCCAUUCAUCUGUCCCACAGUUCCUAAGCUUACCUAUGAGGAUGUAGUGGAAGACAGCAUCAAAAGCCUCGAUGAUGUCAAAGUUGACAACAUCCGGUGUUCUCUGCUCAUCUAUCCAGCUGGUCAUGGCAUCAUAUAAGGCUACCAGACUGAUCAAGCAUAAUUUCCCCUUGGAGAAUCCAUGCUCACUACUCCCGAUGACUUUCUUCUCUUCCACUUAGAAAGGCUUGGAUUCCAUGCUUGAAGAUGACAUCCAGAGGGGAGAUGUUGCCAAACGGCAGGAGUAUUCAAACUGGAGGAAACUGGGUUUCAUGGACGAAAACAAUGAAUGCUCCAAGGAUCACCGAGGAGACGGCUCGCUGUGGUUUUGGGAUAGCCAAGAACAACUGAGCAGAGAGCGGCAUUUCUGGGAAGAGGCAUCAGAAACUACAACAGAUACGAAGAGCUUGAUUCUCAAGAUAAUUCCUCUUCACUUGAUGAAUCCCAGGCAAGCCAAAAGGUUGGACAACCAAGAUGUCUACUCAUCCAUGCUAAACUUCAGAGAGAUCCCUCUAGUUUCUCCUGAUACCUUUGCAUUUCAUUCAGUAUGGCGUGUUGUAGAAGUGAGACUCAAACCCUGGCUUUCCUGUGCCCACAACAUUGUUACUGGAGGAGCUGGAUUCACUGAAUGGCAGAUGUCACCACAUGGACCUUCCCCACGUCACUCUCCAUCUACACCUCUGAACAUGAGAGGGGAGUGUAUCCCAUUUAGGCCACCUUCACUGGACCUGAAGUAAGGUGAGAGAGUCUGUGGGCUCUUCAUGCCCCUGCCAGAAACGUGCCUUCUAACUGGUCUCUUGAUGCCUCACCUGCAGCUGAGGCACCUGCCGCUGAGCACCUGGAGAUGCAUUCCGGCCAAGAGACUGAACACCCAAAACUAUCCAUUAGCAUUUUCCAUGAAGAGAUAAGCUCUGCUCUCUGUUGGAGUUUCACUGUAGUAGCUAGGGGUUUGGGAGACCUGGCUUUGUUUCUGGCUCUGUCAUUCAUCUUCUGCAUGGCCUUGGCAAGUCCUUUCUCUUUUCUGUGCCUGCCUUUGCCCACAUACUCCUCUUCUGAACUAAUGGCGGUACUGUGGCUGUUUGAAUCUGUGUUGUGUGAGUAAAUAAACAGUAACUGUAGAAAGGUUUGAUUUUUUUAAAAAGAUGCUGCUUGGCAAGAUCUAACGUUAACCGAAGAUGGAAAAGGUGUGGUAUCUUGAAGUUUUUCCACCUCUACUCUCUGCUUACCUUCAGUGGAAAGUUGAUUUUCAUCAGCUGAGGAACAGAAACGAGUCCCAGCCUGCUAGCACAACCACAGUGUUAGUUAGGAAUAGUCUGAAACACAUGCAGGGAGUGAAAAUAAACCCCAGCUUAUCUGUACACUGACUUUAGACAAUAAGAGUAGCUGUGGACCAGACAUCUACUGAAAGGUGUCCUGGAGCAGAAGGCAAAGUUUCCCUUCUAAACAGCUUACUUUUGCCAUCCAGGUCCUGGAAACACUCAGCUAUUUGUAAGCAUAGAAUUUUCUCUGCAAAACACUGAUGCUUUGGGGUAGGCUGAGUACUCUGCAUUGAAAUCCAGGAUACAAUGCAGUCAGUGGGUGGCCCCAGACAACUUUGAAUGGGCUUUGGAAUAGGGCCCAAGCAUAUCACAAAGAAAGGGAGAAGGAAGCUUUGCUUUAGCCAAAUCUCUGAGCAUGUGCUUCACCACUGAAAUUAGUAAGAAUUAAGCAUAUACUUAAGUAUUCUGCUGACACUUACCUUAACCACCGAGUAACAAAUACUGUCUUGCAGAGACUCUGCUUAAAAGAGAAAAAUGCCUUUUACGUGUCAAAGAGGGACAUAACAUUUAAAAUGGCAUUUCAAAUUUCUUUUAUUUUUUAGUGACAUAGCAAAAGCAGUAUUUGGCCCUGUGCUGCUUGGAACGAGGACAUUUCAAAUUAUUACCAACUGCAGCUUCUCUCUGCAUCAUUUUGCAUUAUGCAGUUUAAUGGCUGCCUGCUAGAAAGGCAUCUUCUCUGCUUCAGUCAUCUAACAGGAUUUUUGGCAUCCAGCUCAUCAGAUGGGUUAUUUUCUUUAACCAUAUUCCUGUAGGACUGCAUCUUUUAAGCAUCCUGCUGCGUUAUUUUGGCACAACCUUUAUAUCUCUUCAUCUUAUUGUUUCUGGAAUUCCUUUUCUCUUUGUAUCAAGUGAUGUUGCUGUGUGUGCUUUUUCUAACAAAUCUUGGUGGAAGAUCAGAAAAACAAACAAACAAAAAAGGCUAAUGUAUCCUAAGGAUUGAUAAUUUCAGGGUCAAAAGAGAUUUUAAGUGCUGAUCUUCUUGCACCCGCUGAUGAAUCUUUCCGACCAAGAAGCUGGUGUAUCGUAUCUAGCUGGCAGCACACAGAACACAUUAGGAAAACAAAGAGAAUGUGAGAUUAAGCCGAAAACAGGCAAGAGAGGCAUUUUCUCACUGUUCUGCAUGAAGGCAGAAGAUGCUUCAAGAGGAUACAACCUCGGUUUUCUUGUUGGAACUAUGGCCUCUUCCCCCCAUCAGAUUAUUCAAAGGCAACAUCACUGAAGUCAAGUGAGAACAGGACACUGCUGAAGUAAUUACGAAGAAUUUGCCUACUCCAUCUUGACCGUCUGAGGGCAGUGUCACCUAAUAAUUGCUAAAGGAGAUAUGCCUGGUCACUGCAUACUGUCUGCACUGCAUUCACCCUCUGAAGAUGCCAUCCAAAACUCAGAGAUAUCAAAGAGAGCCUUUUCACAGAUCUUACCUGCAUCUUGGACUUUGGUAUAUUGGGCUCACUCUUCUGGGCCACAGUGCUUACUGAUAUAAACCUUUACUGGCACUGAAUCCAGUUUGAGAUAUAGAUCUGAAACAAGAUGCGACCAUGAAAGACCUCUCACACAAGUCCAGUGUAGGUUUCUACAAAAUGAGGUUGAAAGUAAAUGAUCUUUAUAUUCCCGUCCAACCUAAACUGUUUCAUGACCCUGUAAAAUGCUUUUUGCAUGAAGCUAUUUAUGCCUGGCUAGAACAUGACUGACAUGACUAUCCAGUUGUGUUCUAAGGACUUCAAGAGAUAAAGAACCUACAGCAGACUGGUAAGCUGUUCCAUGGGCAAUCAAGCUCCCUGUCAAGAACAUCCACCUUGCCCUAGGUAUGUUAAGCAGUUAUUCCACCUGGAACUGUUCUGCCUGGAGAACAGAAGGUUGAGAAGAGAUCACAUCACUGUUUAUAACUAUCUGAAGUGUGGGAGUGAAGUCGAGGAAGAAUGACUCUUUUCAGUGGUGCACUGUGAAAGAGCAAAGGGCAACAAGUGAAGACUGGGACACAGAAAGCUCCAUACAAACACAAGGAAAAGCUUCUUUACUGUGAGAAUGACAGAGCACUGGAACAGGCUGCUCAGGGAGACUGUGGACUCUCCUUCGCUGAAGAUGUUCAGAACCUGCCUGGACACUUCCCUGUGCCACCCUACAGGAGAGAACCUGCUUUAGCAGGGGGUGAGACUAGAUCAUCUCCAGAGGUUCUUUUCAGUCCCCACAGUUCUGCGAUUCUGUGAUUCUGUGAUAAGCUCCUCUUUAAACUGUAGUAGGAACCAUUGUGAUAUGAGUUCUGGUGGGAAAUGUCAUAACAAGUUGAUUUUGAGGAUACAAAAAAAAAAAAAAAAAAAAAAAAAGAAAAGAAGAGAAAAAGGAAUGAAAAAGAAAAAUCUCUUGAUUCUUCUCUAGGAGCAAAGGUACUUUGCAGCAAAGAUCUUGAUUUGUAUCAAAAAUUAGGAAAAGGGAAAAAGAUAGAUUUGGCAGAGAGCUGUUAAGAGCUCAAAAGCAAUGAUGGUUAGCACAGUAACCCCAGUGUGGUAGUGCUGAUCAUUCUGAACCUGUUAUCAACUUGAAGCAUUAAAUGUAAAAGAUUUUCCAGAUGACUAGUGUUGGGGAAGCUGGACAUUGUCAGAAGUACAGUGGUAAAUACAGAUGGGUGGAAACAUUCAGAUACAAACAAUUAAUCAUCAGUCCCUCAGAUAAGCGCUAGUCUUCAGGCACUGGUAACUAGCACUGAGCAGUCAGGUCAAUCCCAAACCCACUGGAGAACAAUUUUGGAAAUAUAGAAAGCUGGAAAUUUGGUGUCUGGUGAGUGGGAAGUUGGCUCAACUCCUUCUCCUCUUUCAUGCAUUUUUAAAAAUCAUGUGAAAACGCUUGCAAUAAUGAACCAAGAUCAGAAACAUCUGGUUUCAGCAGAAGUGAGGGAGUUGUGCCACUUUGUCCAGAACAGUUACUAAACUACAACUCAUCCUGCAAGUCCCCUUUAAAAUCCACUGGAUUUCCCCCCUGCUAUAGAUUCCUCUCUGGGGAGCCUUCCAGCCACUGCUCAUUUUGGCAUGCAGUUCUCCUGUCUGCUCACUUUCCCUGUCCAGUCUUUCUUCUCUCCGGCCCAAGCCACCUACAAGCUCCUGUGAGGAAAGGGCUAACUGCUCAGCCCUGCCCUGCAUGGAAAGAGCUUGCUGGAAGCUGUUCUCCUGAAAGACAGGCACCUAUUGCUUUGUCUCUGCCAGACCUGUAAACACCAGACUGAACACUUUCUCGGGAUGUAUCAGAAGCAACAAACUGACUGUGUGACAGAAACACCCAGGGCCCUGUUUUGAUCUCUGGAGGAGAGCAGGGACCCUUGGAACACAAACAGAGGCCUCGAGGCAGCCCAGGGAUGUGCCUGUCCAGCACCAGGAGCUCUGUGCGUGGGAAUGCAGGGAGGAUUGUGGAGGACUGGUGUAAUUAUAAGAAUUGAUGGGUCUGCGGAGCAUUUUUUGGAAAUUGUACAUGAACUGCUGCAGAUUUUAAUCAGGGUGUCUCUCUUCCUCUCAUUUACCUUCCUCAUGGAGGAGAGGUCUCCUGGCCAUGAUUAAACUUCAGUAAAGCUUUGUAAACCUGCCCUUUGGGUCAUGUUUCUUCCUCAGUCACAGCAAGUCCCCUGUCCCUUUUAAAAAACUCAGAUUGUACUGGUUUUUCUUGCUUAGUUUUCCACAUUCUACUGUGUUCAUCUUUUCUCUGCCUUCUCUAACAUCAGUUCUCUCAUGACAGAACCUCUUCUCUCUGUGUGUGUUUAUGGCCCUAUAUCUUCUUCACUUUUGGCUGGAGGGAUGAAGAGCUGCCUGCUGCUUGGACAAAGCAAAAAUUGAAGCUGUUCUCCUUGGGCUUCAUGGCUACUUAGGGCUCUGACUUACAUGAGCUUCAGCCACUUAGAAAAAGCACUACUUUCAGACUGAAAGCUCAGAAACUGAAGAGUUUUUAACCUCAUUACCUUGAGUAAUGAUCCACACCAGUCAUAAAAAAGGAGAAAGCUGGAGAAAACCUGAGGUGGUGAUAUCCUUAAAGCAGAUGAUUUUAUUUUUUGAAGAAAGAAAAUAAAAAAUGAUGAUGAAACAUUUUCCUGAAGAACAAAUCGAAACACUUCGUGCAGUGUUACCUGUUCACAGAAUAGGAUUUGUGUACCAAGAUGAAUCACUGCACUCUUGAGACUGGAUGACGUUUUUCUUGCAGAUUUUCAUAUUGCCUGGAAGAGAAAGAGAAGAAGGUGGAAGCAUGUGAUGGGCAGAGGCCAUUGGCAUGAGAGAGAGCAGGCUGAGACUUCAUGCUGGAGAUGGACAAGACCAAAACAUUUCUCCUGUGUCAGCCAAAGAGAGUUUCAAACCUAAAGCUGUUUGCAGAAUGAAGCCGUGAGCUGGCCAGAUGGAAACAAGACUCCACUGCACGGUACAUGGAAAAAACAAGUUCAUCAUGUUCUGUCUUCACUCUGAGACAUUCUUGGCAACUUCAGCCACAUCCUGGAAAGAGUGGAGGAGAGGAAGAGCAGAGGGGAGCCAGCAGGCAAAUGGGGUUAUGGGGUUUGGUUUGUAAAGUGCUUAGGAAAGCUGUUCAGCUUCAAGGAAAAUAUCUGAUUGCUGAGACAGGGCGUACUGGAUAAUUAUUUUUUGAAUGUCCUCGCCAUUUUUCAGUAUUUUACCACUGUUUUCUUUCUGUAGAGUGCAGCAGCAGUCAUCCUUCCUGGGCAAUAGCAUAAUUGUUUCAGCUAGAACUGUUUUCUUCUUAUGUGGCAGGGAUGUCUACAUAAACAGUUAGGGCACAGAACUGCUUUUAUGACUGCUCUUAUGCCAGAAGGUGAAACACAAUAAACUGAAUUUUCGAUAUUGCAGGUCUUUGUUUUUAUUGUUGUUUUUACAUAUAGUCUCACCAAAAAUAGCUUUGGUUCAUUCGUCAUUUCCUUUUUUGGUUGACACA